CGCGUAGGCGGGUCUGUAAGUCAGAGGUGAAAUACUGCGGCUUAACCGUAGAACUGCCUUUGAUACUGCAGAUCUUGAGUUCGGAAGAGAGAGGCGGAAUUCCAGGUGUAGUGGUGAAAUACGUAGAUAUCUGGAAGAACACCAGAGGCGAAGGCGGUCUCUUGGUCCGUAACUGACGCUGAGGCGCGAAAGCGUGGGGAGCAAACAGGAUUAGAUACCCUGGUAGUCC
rnacentral:rRNA from 1 species